ensembl:lncRNA
UUAAAGAAAAGUCAAACUAUGCCGUGUCAAAACGUUUUGAAAAAAGUCAAAAUAUGUCAGGUCAAAAGAUAUUGAGAAAAAAAUUCAAAACAUGUCAGGUCCAAGAUUCUUUUGAAGAAAGGUCAAAAUAUUUCAGGUCAAAAAAUGUUUUGAAAAAAAGUCAAAAUAUGUCAGUUCAAAAAAUAUUUUGAAAAAAAGUCAAAUGUCAGGUCAAAAAAUAUUUUUUCUAAAAAUUCAAAAUAUGUCAGGUCAGAAAAUGUUUAGAAAAAAAGUCAAAAUAUGUCAGGUCAGAAAAUGUUUAGAAAAAAAAGUUAAAAUAUAUCAGAUUCAAAAUUCCUUUGAAAAAAAAGUAAAAAUAUGUCUGGUCAGAAAAUAUUUUGGAAUACAGUCAAAAUAUGUCAGGUCAAAAAAUAUUUUUUCUAAAAAAUAAAAAUAUGUCAGGUCAAAAAUUGUUUUGAAAAAAAGUCAAAAUAUGUCUGAUCAAAAAAUGUUUUGAAAAAAAGUCAUAAUAUGCUAGGUCAUAAAUAUGGGAAAAAAGCCAAAGAUAUUAUAAAUAAAAUAUUAUAACAAAAAGUUAUAGAAAAGAAUGCCGAAAACUAUCAGGUCGAGAAAUAUCAUGAAAAAAAAUCAAUACCUUGAUAUAUUAGGUCAAAAAAUGUUAUUAUUGAAAAAAAGUUUUAAAAAAAUAUUAGGGAAAAAAAAAUUAAAAAACGCCUUUGCCAAAAAUAUGAAAUUUUUAUUUUAAAAUUAGAAAAUUUUAGGUUGAAAACUUUUUGGAAAAAAGGGUCAAAAUAUGUUUGGUCAUGUUAAUGAUUUAGCAACACUUAAAAAAAAUGUAAUCAUUUAAGAGAAGUGACCAUUUGGAUUUCACUGUAAAAAUACUGAAUAAUGAUUCACCCAUCUUGGUCUGAAUCAACUGCAUACUAAAACCUGUAAUUGAUAUACAUCAUUGGGUCUAAUAAAUGGGGUCAGCGGUAGAGAGAAGCUUUUCCUACUGGUUUUAUUUACUUCACUGCAAUGUACAAGUUAUACAUUUCUUUUUCGGAUAUAUUUGAGGUUUGAAAAGACCUUUUCAGUCUCACAGAUAUUACAUUUGGCUCCUGUUCCAUUUCUCCUCUGACAGAAUUUUUGUACACUGAGCGAAAUCGGAUUAUCCCCUGGUGUCACAUUGUGAAAUUCACAGGUGAGCGUGUUCCACCUUAAUCACGUAAAUUAAGAAAAUUAUGUUGAGGAUUGGGAAUCACAAGGUGUGAGAUGACUAACUAAUCUCUUCGGAUGUGCCAAUGUGUUUCACAUGCACAAGUGCACACUAACCACACCGGCUUUCUUCCAUUGAACGGCUGCACAGCAGGAAAGGGCACAUUGACAGCCCAAACUGGAGUAGAGUUAUUAUGUCGAGGCUGGGGAAUAGAUUGUCCCUCCUUUGUUGCUCCUUCCACUUUUCCGGAGAUCACGGAGGACGAGAGACGAGAGUGGUUUUCGCCUCCCCCUCCCGCCGAAAAAGUUAUUCUUUACAGUCAGUUGUUCGGCCGUUAAAUAUUCCACGAAAUCGGAGUGUGUGCUUUCCAUUGCAACAAAGAAUGUGAUUAGGAUUCAGGUGCUUCUCUCUGCUCCUGCCACACAAACACACACAAACACACACAAACCCACUCUGCCGUGCAGGCAGCUCUUACUCUCGCCUUGUUUCCAAUUCAAACGGGAAUGUUGUGGAGUCACCGCCUGAAGUCGCGGCUUCAUUAACGCGGCGGCCCGACGGCGCUCUCUGAUAUCAAUAAUCAAUCACGGGGCUCCGCGCCACGAUCCAGUCAGUUAAGCACUGGUACGGGUCGAUAUAGUGAUGAAGCGCCUCGUCCCUCGGGCACAACCGCAGCCUCAGUUGUGUACGAAAGCACGAGCCAAACGUGAUAUUUGUCCAAUUUGAGCGUCUGAACUUUAAGAAGAAGGCGAGGAGCGUUGUUUUACACGACCAGUUGCCUCAAGAAACAACACCAAAGGCCAAAAUGGCCUUAAAUAGAGCGCUGGGUUGUCGAGGCGUUAACAUGUACGUGUGUCUCUCUGAAUAAUGCAUGUGUUUCUGCUCAGAGUGCACACGCGCUUCACGCUCGUGCACAAGUUCGUUACCUUCGCUGUGGUCGAGCUGUGGGAUCUGGCUCAGGUCCGCCCGGCUCGCGGUUGACCUUGAUGGUUUGCAGGCGCCAGGAGCCUGAGUGUGUGUGUGGGUGUGGGUGUUUACUUGCUGCGCAUGUGUGCGAGAGGUUCUCUACAGGGGAGAGCAACAAAUGUGUCCGGCAUGAACAUAUCCGGCAACCACAAGUCGGAUUGAUCAAUCACAUUCGUCUAUUUGGGGCUUAAAAAUGCAUUUAAAAAAAGACUGAGCCGGUUCGGAGAGUAAAAUCCGCCAGCGAGGAUGGAUCUUCGCUCAGUCCGAUUCCACCUCGGAAUCCAAGGCCUCCCCACCGCCCAUCGGGGCUCGGCACUGUUGCCAUGGCAACGACUCCGAGCUCUGCAGCUCAGUGACAGAAGUCGUUUGCUCGUGUUAGCACCAGCAAAUGGAACUCAUUCCCCAAAUCCAUUUUUAUUUUAAUCAUUUAUUCAUUUUGUUUUGUUUGUUGUGCUCUUCUCAAACAUGAUUUAGAUGACCGUGGACUAAAUGGGUGCUCACAGAAGACAUUUCACUUAUUAUUAUUAUCUUUUAUUGUGGAAAAGUGUGUGUGUGUGUGUGUGUGUGUGUGUGUGUGUGUGUGUGUGUGUGUGUGUGUGUGUGUGUGUGUGUGUGUGUGUGUGUGUGUGUGUGUGUGUGUGUGUGCGCCUGUCGGGCAUAUGUUUGUUCUGCACACAAAUAGAUAUAUUAGCAGUAAGAAUGUAGUGCAACAGUUUAGCUCAGGUCAGCUUAACACUUUAUCUGCUGAUGAUGGUGAUGAACAUCAUCUGUCUAGACUAAUGCUCUUUAUUUCCUCCAUCUUUAUAGUAUUUAUUCCUCUUUUUUUGCCUUUAUUUUGAAAAAUAAAUCAAAUAUCUAUAAAUGUUGCCACACGCACACACACACACCAUAUUGGUCUGUUUGAGCAUCUCACUCCUGCACAGAGGACCUGGGCCUUGAAUCCUUUAGAAUGAUUACGGGGUCUUGAUUGAUCCACAUUGUGAAUGCACCAUUAGCUGAACUUCAUGCAGAAUGGAUGUUUCAGAGUGCUUCUCGUAACGUGUCCAAUGGUUUAGUGUUUAGUGGUAUCAAUACAAUUAUAAUGUCACCGCUCCAUAUUCACCGCGGUGUUGCGUUUCUAUUGCAUGCUCUCUUCUCCUCGUUCCGCACAGCCACACAGAGUUGCUAAUUAGUUUAUAGUGAAUGGGACGUGCUUUAUCGUCAUCGCUGUGCAACUCAUUCAAGCCUUUGUGGAAUAAACCACAUGGCUGUUUAUUAUACAAUCACCCUCAGAGCAACACUCCGGAAUUCCAACAUCCAGUUACAGAAAGUCCUGAAUGCCGGUUGUUCUGUUUUGCUCUUUUCUUUCGCGGCAUUAAGCGAGUUCAUCUUUCAUUUUGCGGCGCAACGCCUGUGAUGUUGGAUGAAAAAAAAAAAAAGGAAAUCGACCUUAAAUGUGUUUCCACAGAGCUGAUGUUUUGCUCAUAAGCUGCAUUGCCUCACAUAAAGCCCGGCGCUCUUUCCUGCACUCAACCCUCAACCUCGAGUGCUUCGCAGCCCGACUGGGGGUCGGCUUGCACGCCAUUCCAACGAAACCUUCCAUUAUACCUUCAGACGCUUUGCUUACUGAGCAGCGGCAGUCAAACGCCGCCGUUCGGUGUCGGAUUUGGAGGGAAGAAUGUGCUCUCGCAGGUAAUCCUCUCCUUAAGUGCUAAUCGUCACUCGAUUCACAGCCGGGCCCCGAUGUGCUUAAUCGGGUGAGCGCAAAACAAUGCAGUGCGGCAGCUGUUGGGGGGCGGCCGCCCGAUCCCUCCGUUAGACCAACCAGAGCUAUUCAUCCAUCCGUUCGCUUGUCCGGACGCUCAGCGGGGCCACGAAAGGCGCCGCCGAGGGAGCGUUUUUUUUAAUCGAGCUCCCGACCGGCGCCUGUUUGCCGAUCCGGGCGCAGCUGCCAGAGGGGAGGUGGCGAGGGAAUUUCUCCCUCUCCCGGCACACUGAAAUCAGUUAAGCGAAGGGAGGGGGGGGGGGGGGUGAGGAGGUUCUUGAACUUUUUCUAACAAGAUCUAAAGCACUGGGUGUAAUUAGGAGCUGUCUGCAGUGAGGACAAUUAGGUGUGGUUUGGGUGUCCCCAAGGAUUCGCUCAAUGGGUCGAAUUAGGAAAUGGGUGCAAAAAGAUUGAUGAGUUCAAUGUUUGCUAAACGAGCAUCCUUAAACACGUAAUUACGCGGCGGGAAAUGAAUGGAUCAUCACGAUACAAACCCAGGCGAGAGGGGAUGCUAAUUGCUCAUCAAAUGGUUGCGGCUGCACGACCGCGGCAUCCACGGUGAAAAGCAGAGGAGCCGGUGGGGGGAUCCGAUGCUCAGAUUAAGGUAAUCCAUCUUCCUUUUUGUCUGUGUUCAUUAUUCCAUAUUCACACUGUAACCCCGCUUAUCUAUUCCUGCGCUCGGUGCCAGUCAGACGCACAAGGACAUAAAGUACUUCUGCCGCCUUUUAAACAGCAUUCGUGAAGAAAAUUAAUCAGAAAUGUCGUCUUUUCUUUCUCUUGUGUGAAUGUUUUCCCCAAAGAAUUGGGUACAUUCGGUGACGUCCGCCGGUAUUUUGCUGCAUCUCUUUUGCCGGAUUGAUAUUUCCUUCCGCUGAACCUUUCCGGGGGGGGGUUCACGGUGACCCGGUCGGGCAACGCAGAGGAGGACGUUUUGUCAUUGACCAGACAGCAGUAAGUAAUAUUCAGUGGAGUGAUCUUGGGGAUAAUGAUAUGACUAAUUUGAAUAAAUCCCCCUCUCUAAGUAAUUAUUAUCAGAGGUUAUGGGACUUCAGGAACAGCUGCCGGAGCAGCUGUUAAGUGGAUGGAAGGAGUCCAGAUGAAACUUGGUUUAUAACGCGGGGACAUUAGACCUUUGAUCAUAGUGUUCUGAUUUCCAUUUUCAAUAUCCACACAUUUAUUUUGCCUCUACGCUUGGUCGCUUAAGCCGUGAAAGAUAUUCAGCGUCAUCUGGGCCCCCGGUCCUGAAAUGACCCCGCGUGUGACAUUUCACUUUAUGAAAUUGCAUUUCUCAAACAAGCUUUUACUACGGCGAGAUCAGAACAAGUGUUUCCAACGAGCCAUCGGGGGAACGCGACCCGCGUGCCACGUCAUCGCCCGACUGAUUUCUGCUGCCUCCUCGUGAGCCCGAGGUGUCAGAGUUGCAGGGUGCGUGUUUGGCCACGGUCUCCGAAUCCCCAGGAAUGGAUAGCAAAUCUCUCCUUUUGCCCCCCCUGACCUCAUCUGAUGUCUGUCCAGAAGGCCUUUCGGCGCACUCGUCCCGCAUUGCAUUAGACCACAGAGCCCUGGGCUUACAGGGCCCGCGUGUUUCCUUCCUCGCCUCCUUCCUCCCUCAGAACCCGCAUGAAUAAGUGAGUGUCCAGGAAGCGUUGUCUGGAUCCCCUCAGAUUUCCUCUGGGAGGCCUGUUCAAGGCUUGUGGAACAGUCCAUUCGGGGGCAGCAGCAAAGGGCACGAUUCUCACGGCAAUAGAUUGGUGGUUCAUGCAGAUUCAGCUGCAUAUUUAAUCAGUUUAUCCGCGGUUCAAGAGCCGCUGAAACACAGAAAGGGAGUCGAUAGAAGCAGGAGAAUGGAUGGGGUCGAAGCGAAGGAUGGGAGGGCUGCUGCCGCUGUGUUUCGUUGCUGCCCGAGGGACCCGAGGCGGAGAUGGAGAUGAGGGUUCAGAGUAUCAAUAAACAGAGAACUAAGGAAGAUAUGAUUGAAAACAAGUCCUGGGGGGGGGAAAAGCCGCGACACAUUCGACGCUGCCAGCGCCACAAAAAGCUGCGUGUUUCGAAAGAGAUCCGAGGACGUCCAGACGGCGAAAACGCUGCAGCAACACAUUCCGUCCACGGCCCGGAUCGCUGAUGUUACGGAUCACUGGAUCUUAAUAUUGAGGCGGUACAAGUGAAUAUAUUGACCAACACAUUGGAGCCUGCAUGCAUUAAGAGCUGCCGAUACCGAGCAGCGGUUAGCGCGAUGUGCUGACGGGUGCUUCUAAGCAUCAGAAUGUACUUGGUUAUGUUCCACAACUGCCAGAAGGAGAGCAGGAACUUUUUGAAAGGGAACAAAGUUCCUCGUACAAGUGUUCCCUAUGCGUGUGCUUCCAAGGUUUCUCGCACCGUGGAAAACGCCGCGGGCAACACUCAAGCGCGCGUUUCACUUUUGACCCGAUGUCUGACAAUGGGUCUGAAAGGGUGAGGAUCAUUUAUAGUCCAUGCGACCUCUGACCCGACUGUCCGUGUCUGUGUCUGAUGGGGAGAGAAAUACUUUUUCCACACCGAGUUUGACCAGGACACGAGUUGACACCUUGAAUUGACGCAAACGUUGGCGCAUAAACACGGAAAUGACCACAAGGAGUCUGGAAGGUGUUGUGUGUCAUCACACAACAGCCCUCAAAUGUCAUGUUUGGUCCAAUCGAUAGUCUAAACCCCAAAGGUCGCCAUUUUCUAACAGACAUUUACACUUUAGAGUCUCUCUCUCUCUCUCUCUCUGAAAACACCUCUUCUACCUUCCCUGGCAACAUGUCCGGGCGGGCAGUGAGGCGAAGCUCCGUUCCUCGCCGCAGGUGCCGGCGGCGGAGCUCUCCACCUCCCGCCGGAGCUGCGAGAGUGGUUCAAAGGUGGCGGCGAAAGCCGGGCCGGCGUUUGUCCGUGCAUGAAAAGCCCGGUCGGAUGUGAGCUGAGGGAACGUCUGGUGAGCUUGUGUGAAUCAGCUUUAAAGCGAGAGUACGUUUGUUCAACGGAGCUCCAGAAACUACAGAUAUGCGCCAAAGCCUCCUACUUAGUCAAUUCAUUUAAUUAUCUAUUUAAUUUGGUUGUUUUUUGCCUCAGAGACGAUGAGAUUAUUCGUCCCUUCAUGAAAUCACACUGCAAGUAUUCCAGCGUGAGGUCCGAGGAGCAGAAAGACAAAGUCCUUCAAGGGGACCCAGCAGGUCCCGGGAGCGAUUUGCUCUCAGUGAAUAUUCCACCACAGGGAACAUUCCAUUCCGUUCUUCGCGCUCAUGUUAUGUGCACGCUCAAGCGCCUCUUGUGUUCGGCUGUUUUAAAGCACCUUUGACUCCAGAGUCCUUUUAAUCAGCUGGUGGGACCACGAGGGAUUGACAACCGCUCCGGUUUGGCCUCCUGUCUCCACCGCAGACCAGCAAUCGUUCCUCAGGUGAUUUGCAUGCAAGUCCAUUGUAUGUAUGCAUGUAUGCAUGUAUGUAUGUAUGCAUGUAUGCAUGUAUGUAUAUACGUAUGUAUGCAUGUAUGUUUAUAUGCAUGUAUGCAUGUAUGUAUAUACGUAUGUAUGCAUGUAUGUAUAUAUGUAUGUAUGCAUGUAUGUAUAUAUGCAUGUAUGCAUGUAUGUAUAUACGUAUGGAUGCAUGUAUGUAUGCAUGUAUGCAUGUAUGUAUAUAUGUAUGUAUGCAUGUAUGCAUGUAUGUAUGCAUGUAUGUAUAUACGUAUGUAUGCAUGUAUGUAUAUAUGUAUGUAUGCAUGUAUGCAUGUAUGUAUAUACGUAUGUAUGCAUGUAUGUAUAUAUGUAUGUAUGCAUGUAUGUAUAUAUGCAUGUAUGCAUGUAUGUAUAUACGUAUGGAUGCAUGUAUGUAUGCAUGUAUGCAUGUAUGUUUAUAUGUAUGUAUGCAUGUAUGUAUAUAUGUAUGUAUGUAUGCAUGUAUGUAUAUACGUAUGUAUGCAUGUAUGUAUAUAUGUAUGUAUGCAUGUAUGUAUAUAUGCAUGUAUGCAUGUAUGUAUAUACGUAUGGAUGCAUGUAUGUAUGCAUGUAUGCAUGUAUGUUUAUAUGUAUGUAUGCAUGUAUGUAUAUAUGUAUGUAUGUAUGCAUGUAUGUAUAUACGUAUGUAUGCAUGUAUGUAUAUAUGUAUGUAUGCAUGUAUGUAUAUAUGUAUGUAUGCAUGUAUGGAUGUAUUAAUGUGUGAAGGUUUCAGACAGCUGUGCAUUCAAGAUAAGAGCGGUUCUGUUGACGCGAGACGUUCCAGGGACAAACACGUCCGACACACAGGCGGUCUAGACAGGGGGGGAAUCAUAUAUAUAUAUACAUAUAUAUAUACAUAUGUGUAUAUAUAUCCAUUCAAUCAAACGUUGCAGCGAUAAGUGUUACAGGCUCACCUGGGGGAGAGAUACUCAAUCUAAUAAGUGCACCUUCCUACUUUGAUCAGGAGGGAACGAAUCCAUUCCACGCAGGAUUAUUCGGACACACGCACUCCGGCUCGUGACGACUGAGCUCCGUCGUUAGUUAUGUCUCGAUUUAAGGAUCAAAUGAAUAGAAAUGAGCUUUGUUUAAUUAGGGCCUUCAGCGGAGUAAGAAUCCUCCGAUUGGAGGACAUGAACUGUCAGAAGGGGGAUAAUCCCCCACCUGCAGGACGACACAUACUCUAAGUCCCUUAAACAAACAUGUCCGACUCAAAGCUCUUCCCUUUCGGGCGGCGGUCCGCAUAAUUUCCUAGAGUGGAAAUAAAGGUGGAUUAAAGACGGGCGAGCAAAAUAAAAAGCGGUCCAACCUCCACGCUCCACACAGCGCUGGUCGGGUCCAACCCACUGGCUCUCCUCAACUCAACGCACAAAUGGCCCGGCGUCCGCCGCUGGGCUUAUCGGGUCUCCCCAGGCGGUGGUUUGGGCGCAUGGGGGCAGCGCGAGGCGCACCGACCGGGAAAAGGGGAGCAGGGAGGAGUUUACGGAGAUGAAUCAGACACUUGGGGUCAAAAAGAACGUGAGACUUGUUCGGGUGAUUUUGGAGGUGUCUGUAUGUGAUACCUGUUGGAACCAGAGCAGUUUGUACAUUCUGACGUCUCACGUUUUUAUUAAAGAAAGCCAAAGUUAGUCUUUGAGCUUAGAGCUUUUAUUCGCACACAUUUCACACUGUCAAUGUUGUGUUACUGUCAGCCUGCUGCUCAUUAGCCGUUGUGACGUGUAACAAAACCAACACCACUUCCAAACAAACAAAUGCAAAUCUGCAUCGUGCGCCACAAUAACUUUAUUUACUAGAUGAGAAAGCCGGUUGCUCGCCACAGAAGAAACCGCCAGCGCCACGGCGACAUUCGAGCGCUGUGUUACCGAAUGCGGUGCUGCAGGAUGCAUCCGUGCAAACUGGAGAGCUAAUUGACUGUAAUGUCAUUUUAUCUGCUUCAGCAGGUUAUUGACAGCAGCACCCGAGAAGCCUGUUCAUCCUUCUGUCAACUCGUCAGCAUGGGAGAAGCCAUUAUCAUCUCAUUACGGCUCACGCGUUCAUAUAAUUCUGACAUUUCCUCUCUGUCGGCGUCUGGGCUCUGGGAGCUUCCACGCUUGGCUCUAUUGUAGUGGUGGAAGCAAAAUGUGUGUGUGUGUGUGUGUGUGUGUGUGUGAGGGGUAAUAAAGACAGUUUAAUUUCCUGGGGACACUCAAUAGAAAGUCCUUAUCCAUCUGCUGCUCCCCUCUAACAACCUCGGAGCCUUUAAAGCUCGACAUUCUCGAAAAAUCCCUUUAAAACAAAAGAAGCCGUAAACUGUAAACCAGCCAGUGUUGUCAGCGGGGGGCGUAGCUUCGGACGAUGCCUCGUCAUCACUGAAACAUCCGGUGAGACGGAAAGGUCACCCGCGUGACGGGCGCGGGGUCGACGGAGGGAACGACGCUUCACGCCGACAGCAGAAGAGGAAGCCACGGGAAAAACAGCAGCCCAUCACGUCUGCGUGAAGAGAGAGAGAGGGAGAGGCCGAGCGCGCCGGUAUCUUCCCCCCCCCCCGCGUUCGCUUGCGUGACGCGGCGGGCAACUGCACGACGGCGGCCUGCAGGCGACCUUCUCCCUGACCCGUGGUUCUUUUCAUCCGCCGUUUGCGGCGCGGGAAAAAAAAAGAACCCGCCGUCUGAACUGAGAGGGCGGUGCACCGGGAUAUCGGAGCAAUCGAUGCGAGGAGCUUCUGUGAAAAGG